rnacentral:rRNA from 1 species
AGAGACAGCAGUAGCCACGGGAAAACGGGGGGGGCAAGUGUUAUUCGGAAUGACUGGGCGUAAAGGGCACGUAGGCGGUGAAAAGGGUGGAAAGUGAAAGUCGCCAAAACACUGGCGAGGUGCUUUCUUGACCAUUUCACUUGAGUGAGAUAGGGGAGAGUGGAAUUUCGUGUGGAGGGAUCAAAUCCUAAGAUAUACGAAGGAACGCCAACCGCGAAGGCAGCUCUCUGUGUCCCCACUGACGCUGGGGUGCGAAAGCAUGGGGAGCAAACAGGAUCAGAUACCCGAGUAGUCCCUGUCUCUUAUACA